CUAGUACUCCCUCCGUCCAGAAAUACUUGUCGGAUAAAUGGAUACAAAUGGAUGUAUCUAGAACUAAAAUACAUCUAGAUUCGUCCAUUCCUCAGACAAGUAUUUCCGGAUGAAGGGAGUAGCUA
rfam:Triticum aestivum genome assembly, contig: Triticum_aestivum_CS42_TGACv1_scaffold_221862_3B